AGAGUUUGAUUCUGGCUCAGGAUGAACGCUAGCUACAGGCUUAACACAUGCAAGUCGAGGGGCAGCAUGAUUGAAGCUUGCUUCAAUUGAUGGCGACCGGCGCACGGGUGAGUAACACGUAUCCAACCUUCCGUACACUCAGGGAUAGCCUUUCGAAAGAAAGAUUAAUACCUGAUGGUAUCUUAAGCACACAUGUAAUUAAGAUUAAAGAUUUAUCGGUGUACGAUGGGGAUGCGUUCCAUUAGGUAGUAGGCGGGGUAACGGCCCACCUAGCCUACGAUGGAUAGGGGUUCUGAGAGGAAGGUCCCCCACAUUGGAACUGAGACACGGUCCAA
rnacentral:rRNA from 1 species